rnacentral:rRNA from 1 species
UACGAAGGGGGCUAGCGUUGUUCGGAAUUACUGGGCGUAAAGCGUGCGCAGGCGGUUCUUCAAGUCAGUGGUGAAAGCCCGGAGCUCAACUCCGGAACUGCCAUUGAAACUGUAGAGCUAGAGUACGAGAGAGGUGAGUGGAACUGCGAGUGUAGAGGUGAAAUUCGUAGAUAUUCGCAAGAACACCAGUGGCGAAGGCGGCUUACUGGUCCGGUUCUGACGCUGAGGCGCGAAAGCGUGGGGAGCAAACAGG